CAAGCGCAAUGGAGGUAGAAAAGAGAGACGGCGCGACCAGGAGCGCCGUCCUCGGAACAAGAAAGCUGCCUGCUUGCCUGCCUGCCGCCUGCUUGCUAGCCAGCCACCCCAAGUUCCCUUCUAGAUUUCCAAACGAUCCGGACACGUUGAGUUUCAUUACCUUGGUUUGCUCGAUGAUUAUACGCAUAACAAGUCUGAGAUGAGAGCCGAGGUGUUAACAUCGUCUUUACAAAGAGAACGAGAGAGUCGUUGACUGCAAAACAAAAAGAGUGAGCAAGUGCAUAGAAGUAAUGUAGUGACCAAGAUAUGGCGGCUAGCUAAUUAAAGCUGCGCAAGAACGCGAUAAGCAAGGGCAAACGCGCACGAAGUCGCAGCGCACGCGACUAAAGAUACGGGAGAACGAUGAGGCCACUGAUUCGUGUUUCUCAUUAUGCGGGCCGUCCAUCGCGGACACGGCAACGUCGAAAGCAGGGCGUGGCGCGUUCCUCAUGGAUCUAAAUCGAAUGGUACAUCGGGAUUCGCUUCAAAAUUUAUCAAAUGUCGUUUCGACGAUUGUAUCGUUUUCGGCAAUUAAUAGAAAUACCGCACGUUUAUUUUGUAUCUAACGAGCCGAAUUGGUAGCUGUAAGUAAAAUCACAUGGUCAAAAUCUGGAGAAUUUACAAUCUUGAGAUAUCGUGAAAUAGAAAGUUACACUAACCUCUUAAGUGGGAAGAUCGGAUGUACAUAUGCAUGCUAAAUUAGACUGAGCAAUACUGUCACUUAAACAUAUGUAUCAAGUUUAUCAGUUCAGUUUAAGUAGUUUUACAAUGAUACAAAGUUUAUGAAGAUCAUAAUUCAUUAGUUAUGGAACAAUUCACACGGAUUUUUGCAAGAAUAACGGAUGUACCUAUUAAAUGAGAUGAUAAAAAAAAGAAGGAAAAUGUUCGAUGUAUAUAUAGCUAUUGAAGAUUAUCGAUCCUGAAUAUCAUAAAAUCGAUUGAAACAUGAUAGUAGAUUCUGUAACCGUGAAGCAAUAAGCGCGGCAACGUUGCAUGGAAUUGCUAUUUAUCAAAAGCAAUCAGUGUGUUACACGAAUACGAAAAUCGAUACAUCUCGCAUCGACUUUUCAAUCCACCUUUGUCACUUAUCGAUUAAUGACAGUAGGAAAUCGAAUAUCGAUUGAUUCAUGGAAGCCAUUUUCAUUUUUUCGAGUCAGUUUGUCGCGACGUUUCUAACUGGUGACUGCUCAUUUUGACCGAUUGAUCAAAUGCAUAUUGAAAAACGAUGACAUUAGAAAAGUGACAUUUCGUGACGAAUUAUUUGUAUACGAAACUAUGGUAGAAUAUGCAUUUGAGUAGUUUCGGUGCGCGCACGCGUUUCUUCGAGAGAGACCGGGAGAACCGAGUUCGAGCAGUCACUUGGUGGAAAAAGUGACCAUUUAAUAACUCAGGAUCGAAUUACGAUAUCGAGGUUAGCGUAUCGGGAGACAUUUUUGAACCCAAUUCGGAAAUUAAAAGCGUGGUUAAUCACGUUCAUCUGCAAUAUCUGCCAUCUUUUAUUACCGUUAUUCGUUUCUAACGUGCUAUUGGUGGAAUUUUCAUUUAUUUUUCAAACGUAACUACGAAAUGAGAAGCGGAUUCAAAUUAU